rnacentral:lncRNA from 1 species
AUGAGGAUGGAGAGCGUGUGGCAAGGGCUGACCUGCGCUUUCUGGAGGGCAGCUUCACCACGUCUAGGGGAAGAGAAAGACCAUCAACAGACCCUGAAUGUCCACGCAGCACCAGUCCUCCACCAGCACCUCAAGUCCAGCCACCCUGCUAAGCCCACACGCCCGUCCUCGGCACGCACCUGGCAUCCUCCGUUCGCCGAAGACGGGCCGUCCGGCCGCCUUCCAGAUGCUCUUCAUGGCUCGAUAGUGCGGCGGCAGCCGGGGCGAGUGGUGUCCUGCCCUCCGGCGCGUCUCCCGCUCCGAGUGGAAAGCCUGCUUGAGCGCCUUCCACUUGGAGCGGCACUGGGCCACGCUGCGCCCGUAGCCGGCCGCCGCCAGACCCCGGGAGAUCUCCCGCCAGAGCGCCUCGUUGGGUCGCGACGUGGAGGCCAUGAGCAGUGCGGCCUCCCCCGAGCCCCCCACCAGCGACAGGAGGCUGCUGACCUCCGCCUGCGUCCAGGCUCGCCCGCGGGGCAUGCUGCCGGCCCGCGGGGCCCGGGGGCGCUCGGGCCCGGGGCGGCGGCGGGGCUCGGCCGUGCUCUCCCGAGGGCGCACCGGGAGGAUGCCCCGCCGGGGGUGGCACCGGGAACCGCCCCUGGAACCGGGAACCGCCCCGGGAAUCGGGAACCGCCCCGGGCAGCGCCGCGCCGCCGAUGGUACCGGGAGCCGCACCGGGAGCCGCACCGGGAACGAGAACCGGGAACCGCACCGACCGCCCCUGCGCCGCACCGGGCGCCGCGCCGGGAGCUGCCGGGAGGAGCCGGGAGCCGCAUCGAGCAUGUGCAGCCCCGGGAGGAGCCGCUGGGAAACGUAGUCCUGGACGAGAUAGCCUCCCCCAGCGAUAGCCGCCAGCCCGGAGCAGGGUCGGUGUCUGCCCGCGGGCUCCCGGGGGUGCGGGGGAUCUCUGCCGCUCCUCCUCACGGCAGGGAUGGCCAUCACGGCAGCCCGGGACGCUGGGACAGGGGAACGAGCACACAGCUCCCACCAUCUGCCAGGGCCGAGAUGCAGCUGCAACCCUUUGUGAAAAAAUGGGUUUGUAAGCAAACAGCCCAUGGCCCUGCUCCUAGGAGAGAGGGGCGUGGGAAUGUGGUCUGUGCCCCAAGAAUACCAGUCUUCCCUUGCAGUCCCUAG